UGUAUUUAGUGGAGACUCACGUGAGUUGCGUCAGCCAGGCUAACUUCACUUGGAUUCUGAUUAAACUAUAGAAUGGAACUUCAUUGUAACCAGACUCCCAUCGAACCCACGGGCCCUUCAGAGGCUAUUGAUUUAAAAUUCAACAUUUAGCAGAUCUUCAAAACCCCGCUAGAUGGCGUGCCCGUCCAUCAGAUCUCGGAGGCCUACAUCUUUUGCAUGAAGGACCUGAGCCCUAGGACCAUGCCUCAGGACUACCUGGCAUGAUGACUCCUUGCUGUCCCCAGUCCACCUGGCCGUACUGCUGCUCCAGUUUCAACUGUUCUGCCUGCGGCUAUGGAACCCUGACCUGUUCACCGGACGUGCUUGUUGCACCCUCGACAACUACUAUGAUUAUUAUUAUUUGACCAUGCUGGUCAUUUAUGAACAUUUUAACAUCUUGACCAUGUUCUGUUAUAAUAUCCACCCGGCACAGCCAGAAGAGGACUGGCC
rnacentral:lncRNA from 1 species